GUGAAAUUGUUGAAAGGGAAGCGCUUGCAACCAGACUUGCAUGCAGUUGAUCAUCCGAUGUUCUCACCGGUGCACUUGAUUGUAUUCAGGCCAGCAUCAGUUUUGGUGGUUAGAUAAAGACCUUGGGAAUGUAGCUUCUUUUGGGGAGUGUUAUAGCCCUUGGUGCAAUGUAGCCUACUGGGACUGAGGACCGCGCUUUGGCUAGGAUGCUGGCGUAAUGGUUGUAAGCGACCCGUCUUGAAACACGGACCAAGGAGUCUAACAUUUAUGCGAGUGUUUGGGUGUAAAACCCAUGUGCGUAAUGAAAGUGAACGGAGGUGAGAACCCUUAAGGGUGCAUCAUCGACCGAUCCUGAUGUUUUCGGAUGGAUUUGAGUAAGAGCAUAACUGUUGGGACCCGAAAGACAGUGAACUAUGCCUGAAUAGGGUGAAGCCAGAGGAAACUCUGGUGGAGGCUCGCAGCGGUUCUGACGUGCAAAUCGAUCGUCAAAUUUGGGUAUAGGGGCGAAAGACUAAUCGAACUGUUGUAUCAAAGUAGGAUCUCGUCUAUUUUUCCUGCUUACUAGGCAGUUAAUUGAGAUAUGUCUCCAGCUGUCUAUAAGAUAGCAACUUGGUCAAUCUGCUUGGGCGUGCAUUUGCAUGACGAGAAGCAAU
rnacentral:rRNA from 1 species